AUUGAACGCUGGCGGCAGGCCUAACACAUGCAAGUCGAGCGAGCGGCGGACGGGUGAGUAAUGUCUGGGAAACCGCCCGAUGGAGGGGGAUAACUAUUGGAAACGGUAGAGAAUACCGCACACAAUAAGAUGUGCCCAGAUGGGAUUAGCUAGUAGGGGGGGUAACGGCUCACCAAGGCGACGAUCCCUAGCUGGUCUGAGAGGAUGACCAGCCACACUGGAACUGAGACACGGUCCAGACUCCUACGGGAGGCAGCAGUGGGGAAUAUUGCACAAUGGGCGCAAGCCUGAUGCAGCCAUGCCGCGUGUGUGAUGAAGGCCUUCGGGUUGUAAAGCACUUUCAGCGGGGAAGCGUUACCCGCAGAAUAAGCACCGGCUAACUCCGUGCCAGCAGCCGCGGUAAUUC
rnacentral:rRNA from 1 species